rnacentral:rRNA from 1 species
CCUACGGGUGGCAGCAGUGAGGAAUAUUGGUCAAUGGGCGUAAGCCUGAACCAGCCAAGUCGCGUGAGGGAUGAAGGUUCUAUGGAUCGUAACCCUCUUUUAUAAGGGAAUAAAGUGCGGGACGUGUCCCGUUUUGUAUGUACCUUAUGAAUAAGGAUCGGCUAACUCCGUGCCAGCAGCCGCGGUAAUACGGAGGAUCCGAGCGUUAUCCGGAUUUAUUGGGGUUAAAGGUUGCGUAGGUGGCCUUUUAAGUCAGAGGUGAAAGUCUGUGGCUCAACCAUAGAAUUGCCGUUGAAACUGGGAGGCUUGAGUAUGUUAGAGGAAGGCGGAAUGCUUGGGGUAGCGGUGAAAUGCGUAGAUAGCACGCAGAACCCC